AUUGAACGCUGGCGGCAGGCCUAACACAUGCAAGUCGAGCGGAUGACGGGAGCUUGCUCCUUGAUUCAGCGGCGGACGGGUGAGUAAUGCCUAGGAAUCUGCCUGGUAGUGGGGGACAACGUUUCGAAAGGAACGCUAAUACCGCAUACGUCCUACGGGAGAAAGCAGGGGACCUUCGGGCCUUGCGCUAUCAGAUGAGCCUAGGUCGGAUUAGCUAGUAGGUGAGGUAAUGGCUCACCUAGGCGACGAUCCGUAACUGGUCUGAGAGGAUGAGCAGUCACACUGGAACUGAGACACGGUCCAGACUCCUACGGGAGGCAGCAGUGGGGAAUAUUGGACAAUGGGCGAAAGCCUGAUCCAGCCAUGCCGCGUGUGUGAAGAAGGUCUUCGGAUUGUAAAGCACUUUAAGUUGGGAGGAAGGGCAGUAAGUUAAUACCUUGCUGUUUUGACGUUACCGACAGAAUAAGCACCGGCUAACUCUGUGCCAGCCGCCGCUGUAA
rnacentral:rRNA from 1 species